rnacentral:rRNA from 1 species
GGCCGGGCAAGACCGGUGCCAGCCGCCGCGGUAACACCGGCGGCCCGAGUGGUGAUCGUGAUUAUUGGGUCUAAAGGGUCCGUAGCCUGUUUGGUCAGUCCUCCGGGAAAUCUGACGGCUUAACCGUUAGGCUUUCGGGGGAUACUGCCAGGCUUGGAACCGGGAGAGGUAAGAGGUACUACAGGGGUAGGAGUGAAAUCUUGUAAUCCCUGUGGGACCACCUGUGGCGAAGGCGUCUUACCAGAACGGGUUCGACGGUGAGGGACGAAAGCUGGGGGCACGAACCGGAUUAGAUACCCGGGUAGUCCCAGCCGUAAACGAUGCUCGCUAGGUGUCAGGCAUGGCGCGACCGUGUCUGGUGCCGCAGGGAAGCCGUGAAGCGAGCCACCUGGGAAGUACGGCCGCAAGGCUGAAACUUAAAGGAAUUGGCGGGGGAGCACAACAACGGGUGGAGCCUGCGGUUUAAUUGGACUCAACGCCGGACAACUCACCGGGGGCGACAGCAAUAUGUAGGCCAAGCUGAAGACUUUGCCUGAAUCGCUGAGAGGAGGUGCAUGGCCGUCGCCAGUUCGUACUGUGAAGCAUAAUCACUAGUGAAUUC